AAGUGCGAUAUUUAGUGCGAUUUGCAUGAAUCUGUGAGUCAUCGAGUCUUUGAACGCAACUUGCGCCCUCUGGGGCAUGUCUGUUUGAGCAUCACAACCAAUGCCAAUGCAGCAAUGCGACUUGCCUCACCUGUAGGGUGUGGUGGAAUGCAGAUUUAUAGCGUGGAGGUGAGGAGCCUCUUGGAGCCAGAGACGCCGACGCGAGUCGCAGGUCUUGUCCAAGAAUCCCCCACCCAUCACAAUCAACCACAACAAUCACCGGUCUCAAAUCAGGCAGGACUACCCGCUGAACUUAA
rnacentral:misc_RNA from 1 species